GACGAACGCUGGCGGCGUGCUUAACACAUGCAAGUCGAACGGUGAAGCGCCUUCCUUUUUGGUGGGUGUGGAUGAGUGGCGAACGGGUGAGUAACACGUGAGUAACCUGCCCCCUUCUUCUGGAUAACCGCAUGAAAGUGUGGCUAAUACGGGAUAUUCUGGGUCUGUCGCAUGAUGGGUCUGGGAAAGAUAUUGUUUCGGUGGGGGAUGGGCUCGCGGCCUAUCAGCUUGUUGGUGGGGUGAUGGCCUACCAUGGCGGUGACGGGUAGCCGGCCUGAGAGGGUGGACGGUCACACUGGGACUGAGACACGGCCCAGACUCCUACGGGAGGCAGCAGUGGGGAAUAGUGCACAAUGGGCGCAAGCCUGAUGCAGCGACGCCGCGUGAGGGAUGGAGGCCUUCGGGUUGUGAACCUCUUUCGCCAGUGAAGCAGGCCUGCCUCGUUUGUGGGUGGGUUGACGGUAGCUGGAUAAGAAGCGCCGGCUAACUACGUG
rnacentral:rRNA from 1 species